rnacentral:rRNA from 1 species
GGACCCGCACAAGCAGUGGAGUAUGUGGUUUAAUUCGAAGCAACGCGAAGAACCUUACCAGGUCUUGACAUCUGAGUGUAACAUGCAGAGAUGUGUGCCCUCUUCGGAGCACUCAAGACAGGUGGUGCAUGGUUGUCGUCAGCUCGUGUCGUGAGAUGUUGGGUUAAGUCCCGCAACGAGCGCAACCCUUGAUUUUAGUUGCCAGCAUUUAGUUGGGCACUCUAGAAUGACUGCCGGUGACAAACCGGAGGAAGGUGGGGAUGACGUCAAAUCAUCAUGCCCCUUAUGACCUGGGCUACACACGUACUACAAUGGCCGGUACAACGGGCUGCGAAACCGCGAGGUGGAGCCAAUCCCAGCAAAACCGGUCUCAGUUCGGAUUGCAGGCUGCAACUCGCCUGCAUGAAGUCGGAAUUGCUAGUAAUCGCGGAUCAGCAUGCCGCGGUGAAUACGUUCCCGGGUCUUGUACACACCGCCCGUCACACCACGAGAGUUUACAACACCCGAAGUCGGUGGGGUAACCCGCAAGGGAGCCAGCCGCCGAAGGUGGGGUAGAUGAUUGGGGUG